UACGUAGGGUGCGAGCGUUGUCCGGAAUUACUGGGCGUAAAGAGCUCGUAGGUGGUUUGUCGCGUUGUUCGUGAAAACUCACAGCUCAACUGUGGGCGUGCGGGCGAUACGGGCAGACUGGAGUACUGCAGGGGAGACUGGAAUUCCUGGUGUAGCGGUGGAAUGCGCAGAUAUCAGGAGGAACACCGGUGGCGAAGGCGGGUCUCUGGGCAGUAACAUGACGCUGGAGGAGCGAAAGCCGUGGGGAGCGAACAGG
rnacentral:rRNA from 1 species